AACGGCGGCCGUAACUAUAACGGUCCUAAGGUAGCGAAAUUCCUUGUCAGGUAAGUUCUGACCCGCAUGAAAGGCGUAAUGAUUUGGGCACUGUCUCAACAGCCCGCCCGGCGAAAUUGUAGUACCGGUGAAGAUGCCGGUUACCCGCGACAAGACGGAAAGACCCCAUGGAGCUUUACUGUAGCCUAAUAUUGGGUUUCGAUGUUGCAUGCACAGGAUAGAUGGGACACAGGGAAACAAUCGCUUUGGCGGUUGCGGAGUGGCCGUUGGGAUACCAUCCUUGCGAUAUUGGAAUUCUAACCUGCGGCUCUGAAUCGAGUCGGGGGACAUUGUUAGGUGGGCAGUUUGACUGGGGCGGUCGCCUCCUAAAAAGUAACGGAGGCGUUCAAAGGUUCGCUCAGCUUGAACGGAAAUCAAGCAAAAGAGUGCAAACGCAGAAGCGAGCCUAACUGCGAGACUGACGGGUCGAGCAGUAACGAAAGUUGGAGUUAGUGAUCCGGUGGUAUGUGAGUGGAAAUGCCAUCGCUCAACGGAUAAAAGUUACCCUGGGGAUAACAGGCUGAUCUCCCCCAAGAGUCCACAUCGACGGGGAGGUUUGGCACCUCGAUGUCGGCUCAUCGCAUCCUGGGGCUGUAUUCGGUCCCAAGGGUUUGGCUGUUCGCCAAUUAAAGCGGUACGCGAGCUGGGUUCAGAACGUCGUGAGACAGUUCGGUCCCUAUCUGUCGUGGGCGCAGGAUAUUUGAUGGGAGCUGUCCCUAGUACGAGAGGACCGGGACGGACGUACCUCUGGCGCACCAGUUGUUCCGCCAGGAGCAUAGCUGGGCAACUACGUACGGAUCGGAUAAACGCUGAAAGCAUCUAAGCGUGAAGCCGACCCAAAGAUAAGAUAUCCCACUGAUUUGAUCAGGUAAGACCCCUUGAAGACUACAAGGUCGAUAGGCACGAUGUGUAAGUGGAGCGAUCCAUUCAGCAAGCGUGUACUAAUAGGUCGAGGGCUUGACCAC
rnacentral:rRNA from 1 species